rnacentral:lncRNA from 1 species
GUUCCCAGGCUAAGGGUUAAAUUGGAGUUGUAGCUGCUGGCCUAUGCCACAGCCACAGCAAAGCCAGAUCUGAGCCACAUCUGCGACUUACACCACUGCUCAAGGCAAUGCUGGAUCCUUAACCCACUGAGCAAAGCCAGGGGUCGAACCUUCAACCUCAUGGUUCCUAGCUGCCUCAGGUUGUUGGGAUUGAACAAAUAAUGUAGGUUAUAGGACAGAAAGAGGCAGGCAUGGCAACCUUUCAAAUCCACUCUUCUAAAUGUGGCAUCUGCUGAGUUAUCUGUCUAUUAUUUUCAGCUCCUUCUAGAAUCAGGAUUUUGCAGUGUUUCUCUCUCUGGUCCUACCACUAGAAGGUGCCCUAGUAUCAGUCAGAUCUGUGUCCAGCAACUGACUCUGGACAUUUACAAAUUAUGACACCAUUGGUAUCUGCAUUGAGGCUUCUUGCAAGGAUUAAAUGCUCAGCCAACUUCUGGCAAAUGAAAAAACAUGCAAACAUCAGCUAAUCUUAAUCAAGUUUCUUCUCAUUUAAUGGCAUUAUUACCCUCACUGUUCAGAAGAAUCCUGAACAUACUGAGUCACCUUCCUUUCCUUAUUUUGACUUUAUCUUCUUUAAGGUGCAUGGGGUAAGGGGCAUGGGGUCCAUCAGGGAUACUCGUUCAACUAUAUUGUCUUUUUGGAUGAGACCACAGUCUUGUUUCUAUAAGCUCCACACAUCUGGAGUCCUUCCCUGUCUGAGGUCCAGAGACCUGACCCUCUGAGUGGGAGGGACUACAGCAGAUUGUAUUUUCUUUUCUUUUUUUUUUUUCAUCGCAGGUGUUAUAGUCUGGAAGGAGCCUUAAUGGUCAUAUUUCAAUGUCCCACCUAUACCAUAUUCACUCCAACAAAUGAUUAAAUAGCCUCUCCUUGGAAAAUUAAAGUGAUAGAAGGUUCCCAUUUCACAAAGUAAACUCAUUCCGUAGUUGGGCAAUUCUGAUUGUUCUUUUAUUUUUAACAUUACUCUUUGUAUUGAGCAAAAUCUGUCCCUCCAAGAAUCUCUCCUUGGAUCCUAGCUCUUUCUUCUUACUUCAAAGAUAAGGACAGAUGAGGUCUAUCUCGGUUUCGGAUUUGGUAGCAAUGGUCUGAAGGCAAGACAGCUAUCCCAAGGCUCCAAGGGAGAGAGAAACAGGGUCCCUCAGCCACUUCUGGCUACCAGGGUAGGGGAGGGGUGGCACACAAACUAGUUGUUCACUGGCUAAUUAUGGUCUAACCAUUCUUUCAUGAAGCAAUAGUUCAGUGAUCUGGUUUAAUGUUUUCUGAAUAUUUUUUUUUAACAUUAAACAAAUACAUUUUUUUCAUGACCCCUUUCUGUGCACCUCUCAGUUUGGGGGGUUUGGAUUUUUUUUUUGGUGGGGUAGGGGUAGAGGUUAACAUCAGUCUAAACCUAGGACUGACCAGUACAGGUGGAAAUUUGUUGUUUUAUCGGCCUUGUCCUCAGUAUAGGCCUCAUCCAUAAUAUUUGACAUACAUCUCUGUGUUGGGGGGGUCCUUCUAACAGCUGGGGUUUCAUCAUCUUAUAUUUAAAGUCUCUAUUCAAGCCUUGGACCCUACAAUGUAUCCUGCUCUGUUAUCCACUGCUUUCUCCUCCUCUCCCUACUUUGACGCAUCUGCAAAUGUGAUCAGCCUGGUGUCAAUGUUCCCUCCCCUCCAGCACACCGAAAAAUUGCCAGGUGUAUCUUCCGGGCUUUCCAUCAGCACCCUCUCCUCACACCAUACAUUUCACAAAACCCUUAUGGUCUUAAGUAACUCCAACUUAAGAUUCCAGCCAAAGUCUUGGUACAUUAUAACCCUCCUUAUGCUGUUUGCAUUUGAAUAAAGGGCUCUGGAGGCCCUAAGGUUGUUAUUUCAGGCAGCAGCGCAAGAACUGAAAGGUGCCGAGGCCAGCGAGAAGACUGGCUGGGGUGGAUCGCACAGCCAGUGAAGAGCAGAGUCAGGAGCACUCAAGCAGAAAGUUCCAAGUCCCUGCAGGGCGCUGAAAUGUGUCUUUGAGCAGUGGGUGAACAUUUCAGGUUCACGGGAUGAGUCAUGAGGGCCUAAAUGGUCUCCAGCUCUCCUUCCAGUCCUGCUCUGCUGGAUGCUCCCCACUGAGGUGGUCCUCCCAGGUCUUCAUGGACAGCUCCCAAUUCCUCUGUGUGUGCACGGGCAGGGUGUGCAGGGCAUCUUAGAGCACCCCCAAUUCUACCAGCCCAAGACCUGGACUAUGUGGGCUCUGUUCUCUGGAAUGAUGAUGCUGUUAUGAUGGGCCCACCCUCAUCCUGCUUUGUGACUGACUGUACAGGGAUUGAAAUUGACCCCAAGUCCAUCUCCCAGUCCUGGAGCUUGGAGUCCCUGGUAUUGCAGGGUUCCGAUCCUUCCUGAGAAGCUGCUUGGUGAGGCUCUGUCAGUCUUCCUCUUUGUGAAUCCAAAGAAACUUAACCUAGUAGUCUAUGUUUUACUUUAAUUGUACUUUCAGCUGCAAGAGGAGAUAAAUCCCUAGAUUAACAAUCGGAAGAGACUGUUUUAAAAUUCUUUCUAACUGAUGAAGCACUGGCCUCUGGAAAUCCGCAUGCCUGAGGUUCAAUUCUAUAACCAGUGUCUUUGAAGAUAAGAGUGCGGUGUAAGCAGGUAACUGUGCUCGGAAAAUUAGGAGGCCUGGGGUUUAAUCUUACCCCUGAAAUUUAGCAGCAAGUUAGAGCCCAGCCCCCAAGUCUGGAGCUAAAGAGAGGAGGGUCCAAGCCAAGCUGAAUGGGUAGCUUACAGAGAUUAGAGACUAAAGCAAGCACCAUGCUGAAAGGGACAAGAAGAGCUGAGACCAGGGAUCCAAGACACUGGUAACAUGCCUGGGAAACUACACGAUCCUGGAUUGGUCACAUCCACGGGAAAAUGGGAACAACACAUCUAGGGUUACAUUCAGGCCAAGCAAAGAUGAGAAUAUACAACCUGCUUUGGGGCUGGGUCUACGACAACCUCAGGACUGUGUAGGCCAUGAUGUUUCUGCUGCCCAUGGCUUACAAUCACCCCUCCUCACUAAUGGGACAGAAAUUUGAUGUCAUAGAGUUGGGCUUGUCAUUCACUCUGUGACUCUAGGAGAAUUACUUAACCUCUCUAAGCCACAGUCAACUCAUUUGGAAAAUGAGGAGGAUGGACCAGAAGUUGUAUUCCCUCUGCCUUCCUAAAAUGACCUCUAAUUCUAUGAAAGCACCACACAAGUAUAUAAGCAUGCCAAAGACAUACAUUCAAGUAAAACUUAAUUACAAUAUAAUAGUAAGUCACAAUGGAAUUUAUUCUGAUGUCUAAUCCAGUUGGUUUUGGGUCAUCUCAUCUCAGCAGAGCACUAAAAGUAUUCCAGGCAAUUCACUUGGUGAAAUGUAGCUGAGAAUUGGAACCAUGGCUGUGUUCAACCCGUAAUGAAAUCAUUGCUUAUUGUUGGGAUGCUUCUCAGGGCCAAUACAUACCAAUCUUGAUGGCAAGGUAAGUGUGUUUAAGGGUCAUGGAGGAUUCUUCCCGGAAAUCAGAAUACUUCAUCUUGGAACACUCCUCUGAAAGAAAUUUAGGGUGUUCAGAGUAAACGCUGAUUUAGGCCAAAGAGUGCAGUCAGAAUCCUUCUGCCGCCAAAUGUGAAAUUGUUCUGAGAUUCAGGCAGAAGCAGAGAAUCCCUGUUCCAACUGCUUCUUUUUCUCUCCUUUUAACCCUUCUGCUUCUAAUGAAGUGAAGAGAAUCUCCUAGAACAGCAGACAGCCUGGCCUGAUGCAAUAGGACUGGGUGUGAUGGAGCCAUGCACAUAGAAAAAAGGACAUAUUGGAAUCCACAGUGUUCUUAGAGAGCAGAGCAGUGAACCUCCUCCCAUCAGAGACAGAAGUGAACAUCCCCUGAAGGCUACAAAUCAAUAGCAAAAUCCCUGGGCCGGAGCCAAGAGGGGAACACCCUCAUGCCUAGGAGAGGUUUCUGAAACAUUGGGACAAUGUCGCUUGGCUGUGGUAAGAUCAGAACAGAAGCCCUUAACUUGACCGGGUCAGGAAUAGUAUUUCCCCCCUGCCAAAGUUUUGUAUCUACUUGGAAUGAGUUUUCCUUCUAAAUGCUUUAUUUUUUCAGUAUAAUUUUUCUGAUAAAAAGACAUCAUCAGUAAAGAAACAUUUGGAAAAGAUAUAUAAAAAGCUUUAGAAGAAAUUAUAAUCAGCAAUAAUUCUAAUAUUCAGGAAAAAGCUUUUAGGAUGCAGUAUUAUGGAUAUUCUUUGAGAAGAUUUAGAAAUUAUGUUAAUAUUUCAUUUUCUUAACUGUAAUUCAUGUCACAGUUUUCAACAGAGUCUAUUUUUCUUUUGUGUCACUCAAUAAUGUUUUUAAAAUUUCAAAUAUAGAUGUCUUUAUAUUCAUUCCAAGUCCUUUCUCUCUUCUUCAUUCCUUCUCUUUUGUAUUUUACAGUAUAUUUUCUUUGUAGGGUUUUUCUUAUUAUUUAUGAUGCAUUAAAACCCUGGGGAAUUUUGUAUGUUUGUUUUGUAUUUAGCCGCCAGGCUGAAUUUUAUUAUUAAUUCAAAUACAUAAGUUAAUUAUUAUAGGUUUACAGCAUGUGUGAUUGACGUAUUCAUCUCCUUUCCAAUGAUUACAAUCUUUAAGCUUCCUGCCAUAUGAAAUGCUAGAACAUUAUUUAAGUCACUGUUAAAUUGUUUUUAAUUGAAAUAUCUCUAAAAUCAUACCACUGUGUUGCACAAUUGGUUUGAAUAUGGCUUUCAAGUGAGUUUUUGCUACCAAAUUAAGGAAUGUGUCCAUUUAUUCAUAGUUUCUCUAAAAUUUUUAAAAAUAAUUUUAAAUGUUAUGGGUAUUAAAUCUUAAAAAAUUCUUCAAACUUAUUGACAUUCUUCAAACCUAUUAUAGAAUUUGUCUUUUUAACUUCCUGUUUGUAAAAUAUUAAUUUUAUAUUAAGCCAUCCUUAAAAUGUGGGGGUAAAUGCUUAUUAGUCAGUGUAAAUUACUUUCUGUAAUAAAAAUUCCAUAUUCUGAGUGGUUUAAUGCAAUAAAGUCUUAUUUCCUUCUCUUGCAUGAGUCCAAUGCUGGUUGAUGAAGGGCUCUGCUUCCCUCAGUCACCCAAGAGCCCAAGCUCCCUGGUUAAUGGUGCCACCAUCUUCUGUGGAGACCUCAAGUCUUUUCUGGAUCCCCUGAUUCUGACUAAUGGCAGGGAGGAAAGAGCCUGAAGGACAAGACACUCACUCCUAUGGUUGGUGACACCCCCCUACCACACUCAUAUUCCAUUGGUAAGAAAUGGUCACAUGAUUCCAUCUAAGAUGAAAGGGAGGCUGGGAAAUGGAGUGUAACUGGGGUCACAGGUGAAAAUGAAAUGGGGUUUGGCAAAUGCAUGAUGUGGUCUUGUGCACGACUUUCAUAGUACUCAUUCCUCUUUGAAUUAUCUGCCGGAUUCUGGGUCUAGUGUUCUAGUAAGAAUAUUGCAUAUUGAUUCAAAAACAGGAUUGCCUAGUUUUUUCCUAGAUGUCUGUGAUAUCUUUGUAAGAUUUUGUUGGUAUAUAUGAUUUGCAGUGUAUACCCUCCUCCCAAUUUACUUUUCUAUGCUCUGAAACACUGUAUAAAAUAUCUAAAUUAUUUGUUUUGGAGCUCUUUUUUCCCUUUUAGUAUUUUUCUGUUAGAGCUUUAUAUCCAGCUAGAGAUUACAAUUCAAAUUUAUCAUUAUACAUAGCUAACAUAAUAAUUUAUUAUUAUUAUUAUUUUUUUUUCUUUUUUUUAGUGCCACACCCAUGGCAUAUAGAUGUUCCCAGGCUAGGGGUCAAAUGGGAGCUG